GACGUAGGGCGCGAGCAUUGUCCGGAUUUAUUGGGCGUAAAGAGCUCGUAGGCGGCUUGUCGCGUCGACUGUGAAAUCCCGAGGCUCAACCUCGGGUCUGCAGUCGAUACGGGCAGACUAGAGUUCGGCAGGGGAGACUGGGAUUCCUGGUGUAGCGGUGAAAUGCGCAGAUAUCAGGAGGAACACCGGUGGCGAAGGCGGGUCUCUGGGCCGAUACUGACGCUGAGGAGCGAAAGCGUGGGGAGCGAACAGG
rnacentral:rRNA from 1 species